rnacentral:rRNA from 1 species
UCGAUGAGUAGGGCGGGACACGUGGUAUCCUGUCUGAAUAUGGGGGGACCAUCCUCCAAGGCUAAAUACUCCUGACUGACCGAUAGUGAACCAGUACCGUGAGGGAAAGGCGAAAAGAACCCCGGCGAGGGGAGUGAAAAAGAACCUGAAACCGUGUACGUACAAGCAGUGGGAGCACCCUUUGGGGUGUGACUGCGUACCUUUUGUAUAAUGGGUCAGCGACUUAUAUUCUGUAGCAAGGUUAACCGUAUAGGGGAGCCGGAGGGAAACCGAGUCUUAACCGGGCGUUAAGUUGCAGGGUAUAGACCCGAAACCCGGUGAUCUAGCCAUGGGCAGGUUGAAGGUUGGGUAACACUAACUGGAGGACCGAACCGACUAAUGUUGAAAAAUUAGCGGAUGACCUGUGGCUGGGGGUGAAAGGCCAAUCAAACCGGGAGAUAGCUGGUUCUCCCCGAAAGCUAUUUAGGUAGCGCCUCGUGAAUUCAUCUCCGGGGGUAGAGCACUGUUUCGGCUAGGGGGCCAUCCCGGCUUACCAACCCGAUGCAAACUGCGAAUACCGGAGAAUGUUAUCACGGGAGACACACGGCGGGUGCUAACGUCCGUCGUGAAGAGGGAAACAACCCAGACCGCCAGCUAAGGUCCCAAAGUCAUGGUUAAGUGGGAAACGAUGUGGGAAGGCCCAGACAGCCAGGAUGUUGGCUUAGAAGCAGCCAUCAUUUAAAGAAAGCGUAAUAGCUCACUGGUCGAGUCGGCCUGCGCGGAAGAUGUAACGGGGCUAAACCAUGCACCGAAGCUGCGGCAGCGACGCUGAUGCGUUGUUGGGUAGGGGAGCGUUCUGUAAGCCUGCGAAGGUGGCCUGUGAGGGUUGCUGGAGGUAUCAGAAGUGCGAAUGCUGACAUAAGUAACGAUAAAGCGGGUGAAAAGCCCGCUCGCCGGAAGACCAAGGGUUCCUGUCCAACGUUAAUCGGGGCAGGGUGAGUCGACCCCUAAGGCGAGGCCGAAAGGCGUAGUCGAUGGGAAACGGGUUAAUAUUCCCGUACUUGGUGUUACUGCGAAGGGGGGACGGAGAAGGCUAUGUUGGCCGGGCGACGGUUGUCCCGGUUUAAGCGUGUAGGCUGGUUUUCCAGGCAAAUCCGGAAAAUCA